UACGGGGGGGGCAAGCGUUGUUCGGAAUUACUGGGCGUAAAGCGCGCGUAGGCGGCUCUUCAAGUCGAGUGUGAAAGCUCCAGGCUUAACCUGGGGAAUUGCGCUUGAUACUGUUGAGCUAGAGUGUGGAAGGGGCUACUGGAAUUCCGUGUGUAGCGGUGAAAUGCGUAGAUAUCGAGAGGAACACCUGCGGCGAAGGCGGGUUGCUGGGCUGACACUGACGCUGAGGCGCGAAAGCUAGGGGAGCGAACGGG
rnacentral:rRNA from 1 species